rnacentral:rRNA from 1 species
UAGAGUUUGAUCCUGGCUCAGAAUGAACGCUGGCGGCAUGCUUAACACAUGUAAGUCGUACGAGAACUCUUUAGCUUGCUAAGGAUAGUAAAGUGGCGCACGGGUGAGUAACGCGUGGGUAAUCUGCCUCUGAAUCGGGGAUAACAUUGCGAAAGCGAUGCUAAUACCGGAUAAUAUCUUUAAUUCUUUGGAAUUAAAGAUCAAAGGUGGCCUCUUCAUGAAAGCUAUUGUUUGGAGAUGAGCCCGCGUACCAUUAGCUUGUUGGUAGGGUAAAGGCCUACCAAGGCAACGAUGGUUAGCUGGUCUGAGAGGAUGAUCAGCCACACUGGAACUGACACACGGUCCAGACUCCUACGGGAGGCAGCAGUGAGGAAUUUUGCGCAAUGGGGGAAACCCUGACGCAGCAACGCCGCGUGAGUGAUGAAGGCCUUCGGGUCGUAAAGCUCUGUCAAGUGAGAAGAACUUGGAAAAUGUUAAUACCAUUUUCUACUGACGGUAUCACUGAAGGAAGCACCGGCUAACUCCGUGCCAGCAGCCGCGGUAAUACGGAGGGUGCAAGCGUUAUUCGGAAUUAUUGGGCGUAAAGGGCGCGCAGGCGGUCUCUUAAGUCAGAUGUGAAAGCCCAGGGCUUAACCUUGGAAGUGCAUUUGAAACUAAGGGACUUGAGUAUGGGAGAGGGAAGUGGAA